GCUGACAUGGGUUACGUUAGCUGUAGAGCUGAUCAUGGGUAGUAACUUGUAGCCUUAAGAGCUGACUCUAUGGGUAGUAACUGUUAGUGUAGAGCCUGACUCUAUGGGUAGUAACUGUUAGCUGUAGAGCUGACUCUAUGGAGUAACUGUUAGCUGUAGAGCUGACUCAAUGGGUAGUAACUGUUAGCCUUAGAGCGACGCGAUGGUAUUAACUGUUAGCUGUAGAGCUGACUCUAUGGGUAGUAACUGUUGCUUGUAGAGCUGACUCUAUGGGUAGUAACUGUUAGCUGUAGAGCUGACUCUAUGGGUAGUAACUGUUAGCUGUAGAGCUGACUCUAUGGGUAGUAACUGUUAGCCUUAGAGUGGACCAUGGGUAGUAACUGUUAGCAUGUAGAGCUGAACUCUAUGGGUAGUAACGUUAGCUGUAGAGCUGACUCUAU
rnacentral:lncRNA from 1 species